GACGGAAGGUGCAAGCGUUGCUCGGAAUCACUGGGCGUAAAGGGUGCGUAGGCGGCUUGGUGGGUCUGGUGUGAAAGCGCCCGGCUCAACCGGGCAGGGUCCCUGGAAACUGGCGGGCUGGAGGUCGGUAGAGGCGAGUGGAAUUCCCGGUGUAGUGGUGAAAUGCGUAGAGAUCGGGAGGAACACCAGUGGCGAAGGCGGCUCGCUGGGCCGGACCUGACGCUGAGACGCGAAGGCGUGGGGAGCGAACGGG
rnacentral:rRNA from 1 species